AUGAUGAUUUAGAUAAUUCUUUGUUUAUGGUUAAAACUGAUAAACCAUGAAGAUAUUAUUCUAGGGCGGUCUGAGCAU
rnacentral:snoRNA from 1 species